AGAGUUUGAUCCUGGCUCAGGACGAACGCUGGCGGCGUGCCUAAUACAUGCAAGUCGAACGAAGUCGCCCAAUUGAUUCUUAGUGCUUGCACUAAGAUGAUUUUGGAUCCGACUGAGUGGCGAACUGGUGAGUAACACGUGGGUAACCUGCCCAGAAGAAGGGGAUAACACCUGGAAACAGAUGCUAAUACCGUAUAACAACAAGAACCACAUGGUUCUUGUUUGAAAGCUGGCCUUUGUGCUAGUGCUUCUGGAUGGACCCGCGGCGUAUUAGCUAGUUGGUGAGAUAAUAGCUCACCAAGGCAAUGAUACGUAGCAGACCUGAGAGGGUAAUCUGCCACAAUGGGACUGAGACACGGCCCAUACUCCUACGGGAGGCAGCAGUAGGGAAUCUUCCACAAUGGACGAAAGUCUGAUGGAGCAACGCCGCGUGAGUGAAGAAGGGUUUCGGCUCGUAAAACUCUGUUGUUAGAGAAGAACAGCCGUGAGAGCAACUGCUCACGGUAUGACGGUAUCUAACCAGAAAGUCACGGCUAACUACGUGCCAGCAGCCGCGGUAAUACGUAGGUGGCAAACGUUGUCCGGAUUUAUUGGGCGUAAAGGGAGCGCAGGCGGUUUAUUAAGUCUGAUGUGAAAGCCUUCGGCUUAACCGGAGAAGUGCAUCGGAAACUGAUAAACUUGAGUGCAGAAAAGGAUAGUGGAACUUCAUGUGUAGCGGUGAAAUGCGUAGAUAUAUGAAGGAACACCAGUGGCGAAGGCGGCUAUCUGGUCUGUAACUGACGCUGAGGCUCGAAAGCAUGGGUAGCAAACAGGAUUAGAUACCCUGGUAGUCCAUGCCGUAAACGAUGAAUGCUAGGUGUUGGAAGGUUUCCGCCUUUCAGUGCCGCAGCUAACGCAUUAAGCAUUCCGCCUGGGGAGUACGACCGCAAGGUUGAAACUCAAAGGAAUUGACGGGGACCCGCACAAGCAGUGGAUUAUGUGGUUUAAUUCGAAGCAACGCGAAGAACCUUACCAGGUCUUGACAUCCUGCUAACGAAGUAGAGAUACAUUAGGUGCCCUUCGGGGAAAGCAGAGACAGGUGGUGCAUGGUUGUCGUCAGCUCGUGUCGUGAGAUGUUGGGUUAAG
rnacentral:rRNA from 1 species